CUUGGUGAUUAAUAGCAGAGAUGAAACACCUGAUCUCAUCCCGAACUCAGAAGUGAAAAGCUCUAACGCCAAUGGUACUGCACUCUUUGGGUGUGGAAGAGUAGGAAGUUGCCAAGC
rnacentral:rRNA from 1 species